GAGGGUAUAGCUCAGUAGUGGAGUGCCUGCUUAGCAUGUGUGAGGUCUUGGGUUCAAUCCCCAGUACCUCUA
rnacentral:tRNA from 1 species